rnacentral:rRNA from 1 species
GACGAACGCUGGCGGCGUGCUUAACACAUGCAAGUCGAACGAUGAAGCUGGAGCUUGCUCCAGUGGAUUAGUGGCGAACGGGUGAGUAACACGUGAGCAAUCUGCCCUUGACUCUGGGAUAACUGCGGGAAACUGUAGCUAAUACCGGAUAUGACACCUUGGGGCAUCCCGAGGUGUGGAAAGAAUUUCGGUCAAGGAUGAGCUCGCGGCCUAUUAGCUUGUUGGUGAGGUAACGGCUCACCAAGGCGACGACGGGUAGCCGGCCUGAGAGGGUGACCGGCCACACUGGAACUGAGACACGGGCCAGACUCCUACGGGAAGCAGCAGUGGGGAAUAUUGCACAAUGGGCGAAAGCCUGAUGCAGCAACGCCGCGUGAGGGAUGACGGCCUUCGGGUUGUAAACCUCUUUUAGCAGGGAAGAAGCGAAAGUGACGGUACCUGCAGAAAAAGCACCGGCUAACUACGUGCCAGCCGCCGCCGUAA